rnacentral:rRNA from 1 species
UUCCGGUUGAUCCUGCCGGACCCGACUGCUAUUUGGGUGAGGAUAAACCAUGCGAGUUGUAUGGGAUACCUAAAUUUCCCAUAGCAAACUGCUUAGUAACACAUGAUCAACUUACCCUAUGGAGAAAUAUAACCUCGGGAAACUGAGGAUAAUGCUUCAUAGUUGAAUAGGCUUGGAAAAGUUUUUCAAUAAAAGGGAUAAGAAAAAUGGUUCUUAUCUGCCAUAGGAUAGGAUCGUGCUCGAUUAUGGUUGUUGGUGAGGUAACGGCUCACCAAGCCGAUAAUCGAUAGGGGCCGUGAGAGCGGGAGCCCCAAGAUGGGUACUGAGACAGCGACCCAGGCCUUACGAGGCGCAGCAGGUACGAAACCUCCGCAAUACACGAAAGUGUGACGGGGUUACCCAAAGUGUUCUUAUAGAACUGUGGCAGGUGAGUAAUGUCCCCUGCUAGAAAGGAGAGGGCAAGGCUGGUGCCAGCCGCCGCGGUAAAACCAGCUCUUCAAGUGGUCGGGAUAAUUAUUGGGCUUAAAGUGUCCGUAGCCGGUUUAGUAAGUUCCUGGUAAAAUCAGGUAGCUUAACUAUCUGUAUGCUAGGAAUACUACUAUACUAGAGGGCGGGAGAGGUCUGAGGUACUACAGGGGUAGGGGUGAAAUCUUAUAAUCCUUGUAGGACCACCAGUGGCGAAGGCGUCAGACUGGAACGCGCCUGACGGUGAGGGACGAAAGCCAGGGGAGCGAACCGGAUUAGAUACCCGGGUAGUCCUGGCCGUAAACGAUGCAUACUAGGUGAUGGUACGGCCAUGAGCCGUGUCAGUGCCGUAGGGAAACCGUUAAGUGUGCCGCCUGGGAAGUACGGUCGCAAGGCUAAAACUUAAAGGAAUUGGCGGGGGAGCACCACAAGGGGUGAAGCCUGCG